UAUUGGCCUCAUAGAAUGAGAUUGGAAGUGCUGCCUUUUUUUUUAUAUUUCCUGAAAUAAAUUGAAGAGUAUUGGUAUUAGUUCUUCUUUAAAGGUCUUUUAGACGUCGGCUGUGUAUCCAUCCAAUCCAGGGCUUUUCUUGGUUGGUAAGCUUUGUUUUCUAUUUUAUCACUUGAUAUUGGUCUGUUUCAAUUGUGUAUGUCUUCCUGAUUAAAUCUGGGCAGAUCGUAUGACUUAAAAAAUUUUCUGAUAACUUCAAUGUCUUCUAUUUUAUUGGAGUAUAAGAUUUCAAAAUAAUUUCAAAUUAUCCUCUGUAUUUCUGUCAUAUCUCUUGUUAUAUUACCAUUUUCAUCACAUAUACUGGUAAUUUGAGUUCUCUCUCUCUCAUUCUCUAUGUUAGCAUGGCUAAGGGUCUGUCAGUUUUAUUUAUUUAUUUUUAGAACCAACUUUUUUUUUGUCCAUUUUGUCAUUUGUUUCUUUUGUUUCAAUUUUAGCUUUAAUGUUAAUUAUUUCUUGCCUUCUACUGCUUUUGCUGCUGGUUUGUUCUUCUUUUUCUAGGGCUUUGAGAGGUAAUGUGAGGUCAUUUAUUUGUUAACUUUUUUUUUCUUUGAAGGAAUGAACUCCAUGCAAUGAAUUUUCCUCUUAGUACUGCUUUCAUAGUGUCUCAGAUUUCCAUAGGUUGUGUCUAUGUUCUUAUUUACCCAUAAGAAAUUUUUAAUCCUCUCCUUGAUUCCUUCUGCAAUGAAUUGUUCAUUUAGUAGCCUAUUGUUUGGUCUCCAGGUGAUGGAGAAAUUUUUAUUUUUAUUUUGAUUCCAAAUUCCAUAUAAUUAUGAUCUGAUGAAAUGCUUGGUAGUGUCUCUACUUUUUUAUAUUUGCUAAGAGUUGCUUUGUGACAUAGUAUAUGGUCUAUUUUAGUGAAGGAUCCAUGUGCUACUGAGAAUAAAGUGUUUCUGUUUGAUGCACAUUGAAAUAUUCUAUAUGUGUCAGUUAAGUCUAAGUUAUUGAAUGUGUUAUUGAGUUUUAUAGUUUUUUUAUUCAAUAAAAUAAAACUUUUGUUUGGAAGAUCUGUCCAGUGGUAAUAGAGGUGUGUUAAAG
rnacentral:lncRNA from 1 species